AGUGAACGCUGGCGGUAGGCCUAACACAUGCAAGUCGAACGGCAGCACAGUAGAGCUUGCUCUCUGGGUGGCGAGUGGCGGACGGGUGAGGAAUACAUCGGAAUCUACUCUGUCGUGGGGGAUAACGUAGGGAAACUUACGCUAAUACCGCAUACGACCUACGGGUGAAAGCGGGUGACCUUCGGACCUUGCGCGAUUGAAUGUGCAGAUGGCGGAUUAGCUAGUUGGCGGGGUAAAGGCCCACCAAGGCGACGAUCCGUAGCUGGUCUGAGAGGAUGAUCAGCCACACUGGAACUGAGACACGGUCCAGACUCCUACGGGAGGCAGCAGUGGGGAAUAUUGGACAAUGGGCGCAAGCCUGAUCCAGCCAUACCGCGUGGGUGAAGAAGGCCUUCGGGUUGUAAAGCCCUUUUGUUGGGAAAGAAAUCAAGCUGGCUAAUACCCGGUUGGGAUGACGGUACCCAAAGAAUAAGCAUCGGCUAACUUCGUGCCAGCCGCCGCGGUAA
rnacentral:rRNA from 1 species